rnacentral:tRNA from 1 species
GGGGCUAUAGCUCAGUGGUAGAGCGCUUGCUUAGCACAUGUGAGGUACUGCAUUUGAUCCUCAGCACUGCACAAAAAUAAAUAAAAUAAAGGUAUUAUAUCCAUCUAUAACUAAAAAGAAAUAUUAAAAAAGAAGCUUAACUUUCAGCCUGUUUCAACUUUUGACAUGUAUUCCUCACUUAAGCAUAAUCACUUCUAGCUUUUGAUUUAAAGUGAGAGCAGUUCAAGUCUUCCUUCCG